rnacentral:rRNA from 1 species
GACGAACGCUGGCGGCGUGCCUAACACAUGCAAGUCGAGCGAUGAAGUUCCUUCGGGAACGGAUUAGCGGCGGACGGGUGAGUAACACGUGGGUAACCUGCCUUGUAGAGGGGGAUAGCCUUCCGAAAGGAAGAUUAAUACCGCAUAAUAUUGGAUCUUCGCAUGGAGGAUCAAUCAAAGGAGCAAUCCGCUACAAGAUGGACCCGCGGCGCAUUAGCUAGUUGGUAAGGUAAUGGCUUACCAAGGCGACGAUGCGUAGCCGACCUGAGAGGUGAUCGGCCACAUUGGGACUGAGACACGGGCCCAGACUCCUACGGGGAGGCAGCAGUGGGGAAUAUUGCACAAUGGGGGAAACCCUGAUGCAGCAACGCCGCGUGAGUGAUGACGGCCUUCGGGUUGUAAAGCUCUGUCUUUGGGGAAGAUAAUGACGGUACCCAAGGAGGAAGCCACGGCUAACU